rnacentral:rRNA from 1 species
ACGAACGCUGGCGGCGUGCCUCAAACAUGCAAGUCGAGCGGGGUUCUGGAAGUGGGCGACCACGGAAGGGACCUAGCGGCGGACGGGUGAGUAACGCGUGGGUAAUCUGCCCAAGGGACCGGGAUAACACCUCGAAAGGGGUGCUAAUACCGGGUGACCCUGGUGCUCCGAGUGGGGGACCAGGGAUAGGUGGCCUCUUGACAAUGCUACUGCCCCUUGGAUGAGCCCGCGUCCCAUUAGCCAGUUGGCGGGGUAAAGGCCCACCAAGGCGACGAUGGGUAGCCG